rnacentral:tRNA from 1 species
GCGCGAGUGGCGGAACUGGCAGACGCGCCGGAUUUAGGUUCCGGUGCCCGAGCGGCGUGCGGGUUCGAGUCCCGUCUUGCGCA